AGAGUUUGAUGGUGGCUCAGGAUGAACGCUAGCGGGAGGCCUAACACAUGCAAGUCGAGGGGUAACGGAAGUAGCUUGCUACUAGACGACGACCGGCGCACGGGUGAGUAACGCGUAUGCAACCUACCUCAAACAGGGAGAUAGCCCAGAGAAAUUUGGAUUAAUACCCCAUAGUAAGUGAUUAUCGCAUGGUAAUUACUUUAAAGCUCCGGCGGUUUGAGAUGGGCAUGCGUGGCAUUAGUUAGUUGGUGAGGUAACGGCUCACCAAGGCUACGAUGCCUAGGGGUUCUGAGAGGAUGAUCCCCCACACUGGUACUGAGACACGGACCAGACUCCUACGGGAGGCAGCAGUGAGGAAUAUUGGUCAAUGGGCGCAAGCCUGAACCAGCCAUCCCGCGUGAAGGAUGACUGCCCUAUGGGUUGUAAACUUCUUUUAUGUGCCAAGAAUGUUCUCUACGUGUAGAGUUUUGACGGUAGCACAUGAAUAAGCAUCGGCUAACUCCGUGCCAGCAGCCGCGGUAAUACGGAGGAUGCAAGCGUUAUCCGGAUUCAUUGGGUUUAAAGGGUACGUAGGUGGCCAAUUAAGUCAGUGGUGAAAUCCUGCCGCUUAACGGUAGAACUGCCAUUGAUACUGGUUGGCUUGAGUAUAGUUGAGGUAGGCGGAAUGUGUAGUGUAGCGGUGAAAUGCUUAGAUAUUACACAGAACCCCGAUUGCGAAGGCAGCUUACUAAACUAUAACUGACACUGAGGUACGAAAGCGUGGGGGAGCGAACAGGAUUAGAUACCCUGGUAGUCCACGCCGUAAACGAUGCUCACUCGCUGUAUGCGAUACACAGUAUGCGGCCAAGCGAAAGUAUUAAGUGAGCCACCUGGGGGAGUACGUCGGCAACGGUGAAACUCAAAGGGAAUUGACGGGGG
rnacentral:rRNA from 1 species